rnacentral:rRNA from 1 species
CGCCGCGUGAGGGAAGACGGUUUUCGGAUUGUAAACCUCUGUCUUCGGUGACGAAAAAAAUGACGGUAGCCGAGGAGGAAGCCACGGCUAACUACGUGCCAGCAGCCGCGGUAAUACGUAGGUGGCGAGCGUUGUCCGGAAUUACUGGGUGUAAAGGGAGCGCAGGCGGGACAGUAAGUCAGCGGUGAAAACCAUGGGCUCAACCCAUGGACUGCCGUUGAAACUAUUGUUCUUGAGUGGAGUAGAGGCAAGCGGAAUCCGAGUGUAGCGGUGAAAUGCGUAGAGAUUCGGAGGAACACCAGUGGCGAAGGCGGCUUGCUGGGCUCUAACUGACGCUGAGGCUCGAAAGUGUGGGGAGCAAACAGGAUUAGAUACCCUGGUAGUCCACACCGUAAACGAUGAUUGCUAGGUGUGGGGGGUCUGACCCCCUCCGUGCCGGAGCUAACGCAAUAAGCAAUCCACCUGGGGAGUACGGCCGCAAGGUUGAAACUCAAAGGAAUUGACGGGGGCCCGCACAAGCAGUGGAUUAUGUGGUUUAAUUCGAAGCAACGCGAAGAACCUUACCAGGUCUUGACAUCCCGGGGAGUCACCAGAGAUGGAGAUGUGCCCUUCGGGGAACCCGGAGACAGGUGGUGCAUGGUUGUCGUCAGCUCGUGUCGUGAGAUGUUGGGUUAAGUCCCGCAACGAGCGCAACCC